rnacentral:rRNA from 1 species
AAGACCUUGCGCUUUUGGAGCGGCCGAUGUCUGAUUAGCUAGUAGGUGGGGUAAUGGCCUACCAAAGCUUCGAUCAGUAGCUGGUCUGAGAGGACGGCCAGCCACACUGGGACUGAGACACGGCCCAGACUCCUACGGGAGGCAGCAGUGGGGAAUUUUGGACAAUGGGCGCAAGCCUGAUCCAGCCAUGCCGCGUGAGUGAAGAAGGCCUUCGGGUUGUAAAGCUCUUUCAGCCGGGAAGGAAAGGUUGCGAUUAAUAAUCGCAAUUGAUGACGGUACCGGAAGAAGAAGCACCGGCUAACUACGUGCCAGCAGCCGCGGUAAUACGUAGGGUGCGAGCGUUAAUCGGAAUUACUGGGCGUAAAGGGUGCGCAGGCGGUUUUGUAAGUCAGAUGUGAAAUCCCCGGGCUUAACCUGGGAACU